rnacentral:lncRNA from 1 species
UCGUCCCCGGGCAUCACAGGCCCACCAGCUUCCGCUUGGUUCGUCCCCGAACCACACCGUACUGGAAGAGGUUCGGCUCUGAUACCACCUGUCCUGAGCCACAAGUUUUUAAUAGCCACUAGAUUCUCUAAUGCUCCCAUUCUUGGGUUCCAUUCUUUAUUAAAGAACCGAUGUUUAGCAGCUUUAUGCAUCGCCACGAGGUCAACGGUGUUAUCGGCCAUUCUAUUCAAACAUAAAUCAGACUAUGAAUACGUCUUAUCGUCUUUUCUAGGUCUCAAGAUCAAAAACAAAAUCAAUGAAAAUAAAUCAUUAAUUUUGAAUAAAAUAAUUCAAGCUUGAAAAUUUUCAAAAUCCAUCAUACUUCAUUAAACAUAUAAAUAACAUCAUUAAAUUUACCUUGGAGUAGGAGCGCGUGUCGGAGAUGUGGUGUUUAGUAAAUAAUUUUUUUUUUUAAUUUAAUACUAUUUUUUUUCCAAGUCUACAGAAACGUAGACCUGCUCUGAUACCACUAAAUGUAACACCCUAAAUAUAAACUUUGAUCUAAUUAAAUAUCAUAUAGUAUUUUCGUAAAAAUAUUAACAAACUCAAAUAAUCUAACUUCAAAACCCUGUAGAGAACCUAAUAAUCAAAAGUAAAUCGACCAAAUAUCAUUUUUAGAAAAAUACCAUACACAUUAGAUAGAAAACAUAACACUAAUUUAUCAAAGUACCUAACAUUAUAUAAGAAAGUCAAAUAUGAUUCACUAGAAACUCUUAAACUUUACCAUCAAAAUAAACUAAACUUUAAAUCCCAAAUUUUUCUUAACCAAUAAAGAGUCUUUAAUAACACUAUAGAAAACAUGAUUAAAAUAUCCUAAGCACCACACACAUCCAUCACACAUCUCCUUGCUCCUCGCCUGAAAAUGUUUUAAACAAAGUGGGGUGAGUAUUUUAAAUAUACUCAGUGAGGGAGAAUUCAUAACUAACUUUUACUUUGUCCAAACGUGAAACAUAGCAUAUGAAAUAUAAAAUCAUAACUUCAACCAUAAACCAACAACUUGCUCAUAUAACAAGAGAGGAAAUUUGGGACAUAACUUCAACCACAUUUCAAUACAACACUUAAGGAAGUAUGAACACAUGGGACAUAUCACUUCAACUGUGCACAAGAACAUAAACUUGGCAUAUUGCUAUAUGCUCACAUCAUAAUCUCAUUCAUAAAUCAUAGCAUAUGUAAACACGUUGAACAUAAAAUAACUUUCACAAUAAAUAACUUAAACAUUUCUUUGCGGAAUUUAACUUGAAAUAAAAGAAUUUUCUUUAUUUUACCCACCUCAAAUCCUUGGUGGUAAACUUAACUCGGGGAUAGAGAUCCUAAUUGCGCCGCACCUAAUCACAUAAAUACAUAAUACCAUGUAAGGGCCUAAAAAAUAAAAAUAAAAUAAAUAAUAAAAUAAAUAACAUAUCUUAACUUAAAUAAUAUCUAACUAAUUACCUCAGAUAACUAUAACUUAAUACCCACUUUGGGAACUUAAAGAAAAUUAAAUCACUUAUCCUGAACUAAAGAUAUUUAACUAGAAACACAAAUCACUUCCCAAACUGGACGAAAAUCAAAAGAAUAAAAUAUUAAAAUUAACAAACUGAUCUCAAAUCAAAUACUUAUAAUCUUACUCUUAUUCUACUAUCAUUAUUCGGGUAGUAAACUAAAAGAAUUAAAUUGUUAGCCAAUAAAACUUUUUGCCAAAAACAAAGAAAUUAAAGUAAAUGAAAAUGAUAGAGUAAAAUAAAAAUAAAAAUAAACCAAAGAAUUAAUAAUAUUCCAAUUCUACACUAAACGGCAGAUAUGGUCCACUGUGACAAAUCAAUUUCACAAGAUUUAAUUUAGAAAACUUUCAGUAGUUCAUAUAGAUACCAAGACAAGUUAAAAGACUUAUACAUAUGUAAAGAUAUAUAUAAUUUACGCUAACAUCAGCAUAUUCAAAAUUUAAUCCAAAUCUCACUUUACAAUUCGGUCUCUGCUAUGGAAGAUUUCCAACAAAUAAAAUAUAUAUAUUUCGACUCAAAUUCAAAAUAAGAGUACUCAAUAAAUUAAAUUUUGAAAAGAAUCAGGAGAUCAUCGAAUGAAUGGAGAUUUGAAACCUUACUAGAGUUCCUGAUUUCUGACAAAACUCUUGAUCGCUAGACGAACUCUUGAAUCUUGAUUGCUUGAAGAACUUAAGCAGGGAGAAUUUUGAGAGCUUUUGAAUGGUUGUGAAAGAAAAGAAGAUGGCAAAAUAUAAAGGUGGAGAAUGAGGAUUUUUAGACGAUCAGUUUGUGAAACCGUCUGUGCAAGUUUUCAGAAAGGAGAGGGAGUCGGAACGGUUUUUACACGUUCAAAGCGAUAGGAACAUUUUCUUUAAAUAAAAUUAUCGGAACUGUCUACGAAAAUACUGAUGUUCUGAUAUAAUAUCAGAUAAAAUUAAAGUAG